CAGCAGCCGCGGGAAUACGUAGGUGGCAAGCGUUGUCCGGAAUUAUUGGGCGUAAAGGGCUCGCAGGCGGUUUCUUAAGUCUGAUGUGAAAGCCCCCGGCUCAACCGGGGAGGGUCAUUGGAAACUGGGAAACUUGAGUGCAGAAGAAGAGAGUGGAAUUCCACGUGUAGCGGUGAAAUGCGUAGAGAUGUGGAGGAACACCAGUGGCGAAGGCGACUCUCUGGUCUGGUAUUGACGCUGAGGUGCGAAAGCGUGGGGAGCAAACAGGAUUAGAUACCCCUGUAGUCCCUGUCUCUUAUAC
rnacentral:rRNA from 1 species